ensembl:lncRNA
GUCUACUGGUCCUGGCCUGGAGACUCCGCAGUCUCCUCCCUGAUGGCAGCAGACUGAAGAAGCUGUGUGAUGGGCAACUGAACAGAAAACCAAAGUGCCAGACUCUGUUAAACCCAAUCCCAGCAUCCCUUCAAACCCCAUUCUGACCCUGAACCUGCCUGUACCCUGUCCUGCCUCCACCAGCAAUGGCAAGCGUAGCCCUUGUAAUUCCCUACAACAGCAGUUACCUCCAUUACAGCAGCCCAGUCCCCGAUAUGUGCCCAGAGAGAUUCCUCCACGCUUCCGACAGCAGGAGCAGAGGCAGCUACUGAAGAGGGGUCAACCUUUACCUACAGGCGCUCUGAACCCGAC